AAGUCUGAAGGUGAGGCAAAUUAAAACCUCUGUCUACCACCCUCAGACAGAUGGACUCGUGGAAAGGUUCAAUCAAACCCUCAAGCACAUGCUGCGCAAAGUUGUAGAGGUGGAUGGUAAGAAUUGGGACCAGCUGCUACCUCAUGUCCUUUUCUCCAUACGUGAAGUUCCCCAGGGUUCCACUGGAUUUUCACCAUUCGAACUAUUGUACGGACGGAGACCCCGGGGCAUGCUGGAUGUGGCCAAGGAAGCCUGGGAGCAGCAGCCAUCCCCCCAGCGCAGUGUCGUGGAGCACGUGGAGCAGAUGCACCACCGAAUGACCCAGGUGUGGCCCUUGGUUCGUGAACACAUGCAGCAAGCCCAGGCACAACAGGCACGGGUGUACAAUCGAGGAGCCCAGGUGAGAGAGUUCGAACCAGGACACAAAGUGAUGGUCUUGGUCCCCACGAAUGCCUGCAAGUUUUUAGCCAAAUGGCAAGGACCUUAUGAGAUAAUGGAACGAAUGGGACCAGUGAACUACAGGAUACGACAGGUUGGCCGAAGGAAAGGCAAGCAAAUUUAUCACGUAAACUUACUGAAGCCAUGGCAUGAACCUCCCCCCUGUCCCCUCCAAUGUCUUCAGUGCCAACCUGUCUCCCCAGAGUCUACCGCCAGUGAAAAUGGGCGAUCAGCUGUCGUCCAGACAGGUACAGGCCCUCGGAGAACUGCUCGCCAGGAGCAAAGAUGUCUUCUCUGAGACCCCAGGGAGGACAACAGUCAUCGCCCAUGACAUUGAAACCGAGCCGGGAAAGACGGUGCCACUAACGCCACAAGCAAAACCCGAAGACGGCG
ensembl:lncRNA